rnacentral:rRNA from 1 species
GUAAUACUUAGGAAUCUACCUAGUAGUGGGGGAUAGUUCGGGGAAACUCGAAUUAAUACCGCAUACGACCUACGGGAGAAAGGGGGCAACUUGUUGCUCUCGCUAUUAGAUGAGCCUAAGUCGGAUUAGCUAGAUGGUGGGGUAAAGGCCUACCAUGGCGACGAUCUGUAGCUGGUCUGAGAGGAUGAUCAGCCACACCGGGACUGAGACACGGCCCGGACUCCUACGGGAGGCAGCAGUGGGGAAUAUUGGACAAUGGGGGAAACCCUGAUCCAGCCAUGCCGCGUGUGUGAAGAAGGCCUUUUGGUUGUAAAGCACUUUAAGCAGUGAAGAAGACUCUUCGGUUAAUACCCGGAGACGAUGACAUUAGCUGCAGAAUAAGCACCGGCUAACUCUGUGCCAGCAGCCGCGGUAAUACAGAGGGUGCAAGCGUUAAUCGGAAUUACUGGGCGUAAAGCGAGCGUAGGUGGCUUGAUAAGUCAGAUGUGAAAUCCCCGGGCUUAACCUGGGAACUGCAUCUGAUACUGUCAGGCUAGAGUAGGUGAGAGGAAGGUAGAAUUCCAGGUGUAGCGGUGAAAUGCGUAGAGAUCUGGAGGAAUACCGAUGGCGAAGGCAGCCUUCUGGCAUCAUACUGACACUGAGGCU